rnacentral:tRNA from 1 species
GCCUUGGUAGUAUAGCGGUUAGAAUUCUGCCCUGUCACGGCGGAGACCCGGGUUCGAAUCCCGGCCAAGGCG